ensembl:lncRNA
GUAUGUGGGGAGGAGCCGGGGGUCGUUCCGGGGGAUGGGGAAGGGGCCGGGGUGGGGGGCGAGCGCAAACCCCCGGUGAGGUGCGGAGACGGCGGGCCGGCUGGAAUUGGGGGGAGGCGGGUGGGGGAAUCCCUGGGCCGCCUCCCGCGACCCCGCCCCGGGGCCGCUCACGUCUGUUCCGGGGCGGAUUACCCCUCUCGGAACCGCGCAGCACUGCGGCUCCGAUCGCUUCCAGCCCCCUGAGCCCUCUCCCUCAAGGGAAGGGCACACUCACUGACCCUCCGGAGCCUCCAAAACAGAAGUCACUGAAACCUGCAUCUUCCUUCUCUGCCCCCCUCGCCCUCUCCCUCCUGCACAAAUCACAGAUAACAAUCUUGGAAGCGUCAGCAGAAGAGCACUUUCAGGAAACAACAGCUAAUCAUCUUCAUGAAGAAGCAGACCCAGGAGAAACUUUGCCCCCACCUCCAGGGGUUGCUAGCGGUGAUUAUAUUCACAGUUUAGGCUAACAAGGCAGUUUCCCAAGAAGCGUGACUUCAAAUACGGAGGACACAUUGACACAGUGUUGUCUGAAAAGAGACAAUUGCG